UGUAACCAGGCCAGCCCUCUAGAAUAACAGAGCCUGAAGUGAGGAGGAGAAAGGUGGGGAGAAAAAUAAGAGCUGGAAAACACAUGGCCCUAAACAGGCACUGGCGACUGCCCCUGGCUGCCUCUCUGAAUUCAUGUCACAUCACAACAGCUUGCCUGGCACUUGUUUCCUCAGUUGCUGUUUCCUGGAGCUCCUUCCAUCAGGGUGGGUCUUUCUGACCUGCAAGUCCCCUCCAUACCUCAUAAGCCUUGGGCAGAUGCUCAGUGAGUAUCCACAGUAUGGACGAAAAAUGAUUCAACAGCUUCCUGCACCCAAACCAGGUCAGACCAUCGGGGCUUGAGGAGUAUUACAGAGUGGCAGGAGUAAUAAUAGCUAACAUUCUCCAGGCACCCCCAGUGUGUCCAGCCACUAUACUGAACACUUCACAUAGGUGCUCUCAUUCACUCCUCCAAACGACCCUGAGAGAUAGGAUUGAGGUUUCUGUUUCACAAGUUCAGAGAAGUCAGAUAAUUUGGCCAGGGUCACACAGCUGGUAAAUGCUGAAGUCCAGACACAACCCAGCUCUGUUUGACUCUAGAGCCCAGAGUUAAACAUGUGAUCAUGGGAAAAAUGGCAAGUGUGCAGUUGAGAAGGCUCUGGACACUGCCUCAACUCAAAGUUACUCAAGCUUAACAUCCCCUGCAAGGGGUGAAUGGAUGGGCCCCCAGUAGACUGCCCUGAGAAGGACUUGGCACCCUGUCUGUGAUUUUCCUGCCCAAAGUGCAUGACUUGAAUUUAAUCAUGAAGAAACAGCAUCAGACAUGGCCCAAGUGAGGGACACUCUACAAAACAGCUGGUCUGCAGUCUUCACAAAUGUCAAGGUCAUGAAAGACAAAGAAAGAUGCAGGAACUCUUCCAGAGUAAAGAGACAUGGUGACCAGAUGCCAGGCCUGGUCCUGGAAGGGAUGGUGGACCAGAAAGGACUCGAGAGGGACAAUUGACAAAACGUGAAGGUCACCUGUACACUAGCUCAUGUCUUUGUUAAGUCUCCUGAGUUUGUGGAUGUGGUUGUAUGAGAAAAUAUCCUUGUUUUUAGGAAAUACAUGCUGAAGCCAUUCAGGUUAAAGGGAAUAAUCAUGAUAACAGCAAUCAUGAUGGGUAUAAAUAGAUAGAGAUAAGGCAAAAGUGGCAAAAUGUUAAAUUGGUGAAUCUAGGUGAGAAGUAUAUGAG
rnacentral:lncRNA from 10 species